UGGUUCAGUGAGGCUUUCGGACUGGCCCAGGGAGGUCGGCAACGACCACCCAGGGCCGGAAAGUUAUCCAAACUCGAUCAUUUAGAGGAAGUAAAAGUCGUAACAAGGUCUCCGUUGGUGAACCAGCGGAGGGAUCAUU
rnacentral:rRNA from 1 species